rnacentral:rRNA from 1 species
UACGUAGGUGGCAAGCGUUGUCCGGAUUUAUUGGGUUUAAAGGGUGCGUAGGCGGCCUUGUAAGUCAGUGCUGAAAUAUCCCGGCUUAACCGGGAGGGUGGCAUUGAUACUGCAGGGCUUGAGUAAAGUCGAGGUUGGCGGAAUUGACGGUGUAGCGGUGAAAUGCUUAGAUAUCGUCAAGAACACCGAUAGUGAAGACAGCUAACUAAGCUUUAACUGACGCUGAGGCACGAAAGUGUGGGGAUCAAACAGG